UGAGCUUGGCAGCACAGCCUGUGAAUAGGAUUCAAAAACUGGAAGGAACACAACAAGCAGCAUGAGAAGGGCUGUUGGGGCAUCUAUGCUCCUGUGAGCGUGGAUGAAUCAUUGCAUCCUCUAGGACUGUGUGACCUGGCAGUAGUGGAUGUCCUACUUGCACGAGGAAGGUGCCAUAAAGAGACAUAGUUACCAUUAAAUUCGAACCAAGACAGCAUAAGGGUAAAAGCUGAAUGUUUAAGAACUAAUGGUUUUAUCUUCUCAGACUGUGGACUGAGAUUAAUCUUUAACAUCUUAUAAUUCUAUGACGCAUAUUGGAUUAUGACUCAAUAAUGACAUUUGAACUAUCCAUACAGUGCAAGCUUGAAGUCUACUGUAAAAGAGAAGUAAAAUGUAAUGCAAAUAGAAACAAACAAACAAAACUUAUUGUAUUGUGUAGUAAUGACUCAAGAAAACUAAUGAAGCAAAUGACAUGGCAAGAAGACCAGUGGGUAUUUUGGUUAGUUCCUGGUACAACUAAGGAAACCACAAAACCACAUCAAUCCCUAGUCUGCUCAACCAGUUAAAACAGAAAACAUUUCUGGUUUUGCUUCUAGAACUGCAAACCACAAGAACAAAGAAAAUUUAGCUUAUUCUCAAGUGUUAACCUGGUUUACUUUCAAAACCUCAGUGACAACAAAACUAGCAUCUUGGUGCAGUGCUUGGGUGUGACAUGAAGAAAGACAUAUAAGCACUUGUACCUUGUAUGACUCAUGAGCGGUAAAAACUUAAUUCUGACUAUUUCACACUUCUUCCAGAUGGAACAAAAUUACCCCUGAUUCCUGCAAGAAUCAACAUAUCUCCUAGCCACAUUUUAUACCACGCUACAAAGCGAAAAGACGGUUAUCAGUGUAUUUAAAUA